AACGAACGCUGGCGGCAUGCCUAACACAUGCAAGUCGAACGAGACCUUCGGGGCUAGUGGCGCACGGGUGCGUAACGCGUGGGAAUCUGCCCUUAGGUUCGGAAUAACUCAGGGAAACUUGAGCUAAUACCGGAUGAUGUCUUCGGACCCAAGAUUUAUCGCCUAGGGAUGAGCCCGCGUAGGAUUAGCUAGUUGGUGAGGUAAAGGCUCACCAAGGCGACGAUCCUUAGCUGGUCUGAGAGGAUGAUCAGCCACACUGGGACUGAGACACGGCCCAGACUAGUACGGGAGGCAGCAGUGGGGAAUAUUGGCCAAUGGGCGAAAGCCUGAUCCAGCAAUGCCGCGUGAGUGAUGAAGGGCUUAGGGUUGUAAAGCUCUUUUGCCCGGGAUGAUAAUGACAGUACCGGGAGAAUAAGCCCCGGCUAACUCCGUGCCAGCAGCCGCGGUAACAC
rnacentral:rRNA from 1 species